CUUGUUCUUUGUUGCCCUUGGGCUACUGUUUUGAUCAUUGACUGAAUGGAUUUAUUCUUGUCAGCAGAAUGAAUUUUUCACUCUUGUCGUGCUGAACCUGACACGGAGCUGGCGCUGCGGAGCGGGGUGGGCAGCCGGACACUGUGCAUGGAGCAUCUUGAGCAGUUGGUAACAUUUGGCAGCUUAACAUAGAAAAAAUGACUGCUAGGGAAAUCUCAACUGCCGCUAAUUAGCAGCAAUGAACUGUGGGUAAGGACAGUCCAUUUUAAUGUGAGAAGAAUUUUACAAUAACCACCACACUGAAAGAAAUAGAACGAAAUGCUCCCUAGCUGACCCUUGUGGCAAUCUAAGCUGCAUAUUGCAAUAAUCCUGUAAAUUACUAUGCUUUUUUAUACAGUAACUUGGAGUUAAUUAGUAAUUUA
rnacentral:lncRNA from 1 species